rnacentral:rRNA from 1 species
GUCGGACGGGAUCCAUCGGAGAGCUUGCAAUCGAAGAUGGUGAGAGUGGCGCACCGUUGCGUAACGCGUGAGCAACCUACCUCUAUCAGGGGGAUAGCCUCUCGAAAGAGAGAUUAACACCGCAUAACAUCAACAGUUCGCAUGUUCGGUUGAUUAAAUAUUUAUAGGAUAGAGAUGGGCUCGCGUGACAUUAGCUAGUUGGUAGGGUAACGGCCCACCAAGGCAACGAUGGAUAGGGGAACUGAGAGGUUUAUCCCCCACACUGGGACUGAGACACGGCCCAGACUCCUACGGGAGGCAGCAGUGAGGAAUAUUGGUCAAUGGGCGGGAGCCUGAACCAGCCAAGUCGCGUGGAGGACGACGGUUCUAUGGAUUGUAAACUCCUUUUGCACUGGGGUAAAACGCGGGACGUGUCCCGCCUUGCAAGUACAGUGCGAAUAAGCAUCGGCUAACUCCGUGCCAGCAGCCGCGGUAAUACGGAGGAUGCGAGCGUUAUCCGGAUUUAUUGGGUUUAAAGGGUGCGUAGGCGGCCCCUUAAGUCAGCGGGAAAAUUUCUGCGCCUCAACGCAGUCGUGCCGUUGAAACUGGGGGGCUUGAGUCUAGAUGAAGUGGGCGGAAAUUGUAGUGUAGCGGUGAAAUGCUUAGAUAUUACAAGGAACUCCGAUUGCGCAGGCAGCUCACUAAGCUAUCACUGACGCUGAAACACGAAAACGUGGGUAUCAAACAGGAAUAAAUACCCUGGGAGUCCCCGCCGUAAAAAAUGAUCACUCCCCUGUCUGCGAUAUACAGAAAGGGGGGCCAAGCAAAAACGUUAAAUGAUCCCCCUGGGGAGGACGCCCGCCACCGGGGAAAAC